rnacentral:rRNA from 1 species
CUCCGGUUUGCCCAGGUCUGAUCCCGGCCUUUUUUUUCGACUGAGCGCACUACCGGCCCGUCACGUCUGCAUCUCUUGGUGGCGGAGCAAGAGCGUACACGCUGGGACCCGAAAGAUGGGGAACUAUGCCUGAGUAGGACGAAACCAGAGGAAACUCUGGUGGAAGUCCGCAUCGGUUCUGACGUGCAAAUCGAUCGUCGAACUUGGGUAUAGGGGCGAAAGACUAAUCGAACCAUCUA